AUGUGUCUUUAGCACCGGAGGCUGUAUUCUUGAUUCAUUUAGGAGUUCUUUGACUCCGAAAUUGGUGCAAGCUGUUAUUUGUCUUCAAGAUUGACGUCGAAAUGAGCCUUAUCCCAUAAAUGUUGAAGAAGAUUUUAAUAAUCUUAUGAAACUUGAACUUGAUUUGGCUGAUAGCUCAAAAGAUUUCCUCGUUCUUGAUUUGUAAUCGCAAGAUGCCUCAGGUUAAGACAUUGUUGACAAAAAUAUGAUCAAGCAUCACCCUGAUUUGAUCAUGUGCAGGAAGCAGCCAGAAAUAGCUAUUGGGCGUCUUUGCGAAAAAUGUGAUGUGCAAGAAGCAGCUGGACUGAAAUUUCUCAAUUGGAGAAAGUGAUGUACACGACUAUAUCUUCAUGGUUCAUGUUCUCAGAAUGAAGAAAGAUGAUAGUGUGUGAGCACUACUUCUCUAAGGCUACUUGUUAAUACACAUACUGUUUUGUUCUGUUUUUCUAUGAUUUUUGAAGGGUUGCAGUAAGCACAGUUGAUCCUUCAUGUUGAGUUAAUCAUGCAAGUGCUGCUUUCUUCGCCUUGUCUAAAAGUGCCGAUGAUGUUUCUGCACGUAUUAUCUUGAUAUGUAAAAAUGAAGAUGUUAACGUGAUUGUCACUACCUCUUAGGCACAAUUUUUUUUAUUUUGACAUUUCAGUUGAUCUUUUACUCUCUUGUGUGGGGUUUUUGCCUUUUUGGCUUCUCCAGAGUCAUCUUUUUGCAGCUAUUGCUCAUUUUUGGUAUAAGCCUGAUGAUUGUCAAUUAAGAACGAAGAUUCGAAUGUUGUUAUCUGUUGAAGCCUUCUUUUAAGUUAGGCUCCAGUGGCAUUACAUGUGAUAAAACUUUCUUACAUAUGAUGAAGGCUUUUUUUUACCAGAAAUAAUCAAAUAUAGAGUUUUUUUUAUCUAUUUGUCUUCAAACUUGGUGGAUUUUUUUCUUGCAGACGGAUCUUGACAUCUUGUUAUCCGUAAAAUUGGUUUGCUGGAUCAUACUGUUAAACUAACAUGAUGAUCAUCUCGUCAUUGUUAUUCUUGAUGCAUUCUUUUGAAGAAAACCAUGAUAAACUGUAAAACUGCAGCAUCUUUUGAAGAAAAUCAAGAAAAUGGAACAACAACUUCCAUUGGUAGGUUACCCCUCAGUGACGUUUUGCACAGUUUCUGCAAUGCCGGAAUUUUCAUCAUUGGGGUUAUAUGCGUCGUUGAAGUUGAGAGAUUUUGAAUAAACCAUAAUGUACAUAUCUUUUACAAUUAGUUUGAGACUCAAUUGUAUUCGAUCCAUUGUUUAGUUUGUUAUUAAAAAUCUUCACAUCUCUUAUUA